CUCGAACAGAACCACAAGUCCUUACAACAACAACAAAACGCCCACUACCUCAACACUGUACACGAUCGCAAGAAGAAAUUCAUUUCAAAGAUGUUUUUACAAUUACCUGCAUGAUUCCUGUAUCACACCAGCUUGGUAAAUUAUACAUAAACUAUAAGCCACAGUACGGAUCUUACAAACCUGAUGAAGUUUUCAACUUUAGCCUGACACAGAUGGAAUCUGACCAAGGUGGAUGGAACAUAACAGUACUGAACAGUUCCUCGCCCGUUCACAUCAAUAUUACAAGAGAACCUGUGAAGUGUGAUAGUGGUGGGGAAUAUACAUUUAGGUUCAUGGUGGCCAACAGUACACAUGAGUUUGAAGUUUUCACGCAUACGGAACUCAUAACAAUUGAAAGUACGUGAUCAUUAUAAUAUUGUUAAGUGGUUAACAUUACACAUGAGUUUGAAGUAUUCAGACAUACGGAACUCAUAACAAUUGAAAGCAAGGUUUCUGAUGUAAGCCUACAAGUAAAACAAAACAAUGUCUCAGGUGGCUUUUAUGAAGUAUCUUGUUCUGCACAAAGCGCUUGUACGCCGGCGCCAAUUACUUUGUUGGGAGUCUUCAUAGGAGACGACAAUUCAAAGUCACAACCUAUAUUUGGUUCAAACUUUACUUGUAUUAUAAACUACAAUGACAACGACGGAUGGACCGUUAAAUGCACCGGAACAAUUCCAGAGAAUGUUUUCUCAUCACUCAAUAGCAUUGCAUGUAGGCCGACGACGGGUAACCAAACCAUUGAUGAUAAAAAGGAGAUUGAAUACGAAAUUUGCAGAGAUUGCAUAUUUGAGUGUCCCAACGAUAAUUACGACACGUAUUGGUUUGACCACAAGAUAUGUAACAUAUUUCAUCGAUGUUUCAACGGACAUCUGUACACACAACCAUGUCCACCGGCAACAUAUUUCAACACUAUUUCAUGCACGUGUGAUCAUACAGACAACUUACCAGGAAAAUGUAACGAACAAAAUGAAAGGGUUGAACAAAAGGAUAAAACAAAAUCUUGUAGCUGAUGAAUUUUACGUACAUAAAAAACCGCUACUGAUUUGGGUUGCCUUACAUCAUAAUGCUUUUAAUGUAAAAGUGUAACUGAUCAUUACAUUUAAACUAUGUAAUAUACCAUUAGUAAUUCAACUAUGCUGAAUUCAGUCAUUUUAAUAUCAAAUGUACCAGGAUUAUAAUUUAGAACGAAAGACGCGCGUUUUGUCUACAUAAAACACAUCAGUGGCGUUUAUUUUAAAAUAUUUAUAAAACCAAACAAGUACAAAACUGAAGAGCAUUGGCGAUCCGUAAUUCCUAAAAGUUGUUCCAAACAAAACUUUUUCAAAUAUAUAUUAUUUGAUCAUUUCUGAUAAAUUCCCUCAUUUGAAAAAUAUCGUGGCAACAGGAUCCGCUCUUAAGGAGGCUCGCGGGUAUAAGAUUUUUCAGAAAAAAAUAAACAUUUAUUUUUCAUUACAAAUUUUAUUUAUUAAUUUUAGUAGCUGUUACUUUAUCAUAUGGUAAAAAAUCAAUUCGUGUUGGCCCCAGGUGACUUUUAAAAUGAUGAUAUCAUUGAAAAAGCUCCAAAUUAUCUCCCUUUGGUGCAAAAAUGCCAUUUUUUGGCAUUCAAAUGGAAAUAUCUUUUUUCAGUCAUCGGUGACCUAUAUUUUGUAUUGUUGUUUUCGAAUAAGCUGUACAUAAACUAAAUAACUGUAAAAUUUAAGCGAUUUCUGUAAUUUAGUUCUUUUUUUAUUUCGAUAUUACCGAUAUUUCUCCUAUUAGUUCAAAAGAAGAAAAGAACAUUAACAAAAAUGUAUGUUUCUUUCAAAGGCAGAUUGUGAGCGUAAAUGAACGGUGACCCCAUUUUUUUAUUUCAUUUUUCUAUUCAGUAUAAGAUAAAUUUCAUUUAUAGAAAAAUAUAACGAAAUCCUAUAUUGAAUUAAAAAAAUGAUUUAGACCCGCGAGCCCCCUUAACAUAUGGAAUUACUGCUUAAAUUAUUGCAUCUUCAGUUGAGCAGAUUGUGUGCAUGGUUGUUUGAAAAGAAAUGGGCGUAAACACUUAUAAUAUAAAAAUUGAACUUUUCGUAUUUAUGUCCCACGUCUGUUAGAUUCAGGAAAUUGAGAAUGAAUGGCGUUAUCACGGAUUUACCUUAUCACAUACUAUGCAAAUGUAUCGCUAAAAUUUGUCGAAUCAAAAAUAGUUUGGACUAAUAACACAAACACUUAUUACUAUACUAGUUUAUUGUGUCUGUUUCGAUGGGAAUGGUGUAUUAUACUUAAAACUACGGACACAACUAUUGCAACGGACAAUGGAAACACAUGAGGCGUCGUUAAAUAUAAACUUUGCUUUUUUCUCUCUUGUAUGUAACUAUUUAUUUGUCAUUAUCGCAUUAUAAACACAGCCCAGUUGGCCUCUGGACAAACUGAACAAUUAUUUAAUGGAUUUAUUUAUAGAUUGUUAUGAAAGAGGUUACACUUUUAAAUAAAUUCAUUCAUUUACU